rnacentral:lncRNA from 10 species
CUUGGCCUCCCAAAAUGCUGGGAUUAUAAGCAUGAGCCACUGUGCCCGGCUAAAAAGAUUUUUAAAAAAUUACUUUAUUGAGGUAAAAUUCACAUGUGAAAAUAUUUCUAUUUUUACAUUUUGGAAGGCUGUAUUAUUUGAUUGGGAAAAGAUAGAUGGGCUGUGCACAUUUAUUUUUUGUUUUUAAAUUUUUUUGUUACUCCACACCCUGAAGAGUCCCUUAUUGUUGAUUCCCAGGGUUGAGGACUGAGUUUUUUUUUUUUUAAUUAGUACUGGUUUCUAUGGGAUGCAAACUUUUCUCUAAUAGCUGAAAGCAGAGGCUUCUGGGUGCUUUCAAAUUUAUUCUUUCUUCACGGUUUUAAAAGAGGCCCUUGCCUCUUCUGUGUGUCGUUAUGCGUACUGGAGUGCAGAAUAGAAAAUGCAAAACAAGAGAGCCGUACAGGAGGUUUUUCUUUUUAAAGGAGUUGAUAGACAAAUGGCACAGAGUUCACUGUUCUCGCCAGCUGAGAGUUUAGCUUCCAGAAAGCACUACUUUAGGGAACAAGUGAAGCAGUGUGGAGGGCCUGAAAGGCUUCAUUGACACAGCAGCCGGGAGGCUCUUGUAGCACAUUGUCUGGGGUGCGGUGCCUUCGGAAACCAGCUCUCGAGAUGUCUACACCCCCAACAUCCCCAACGCUGAAAACAUUCGGGUUUUUUUUUUUGGUUGUUUUUGCCAUUAUACUUGGUUUUCCAAGUGAGAUUCCUGAAAAGAUGAGGAAAUAGAUGUGAGAAUUGAGACCUGCCCAAUGUCAAACAACCAAGGAGCAGAGCUGGAACGGGAAACUGACUUUCUGGGCAGCAACUUCAAUGCCUUCUUAUAGGUUCAUUAUUGUUGUUAUACUUUUAUUAUGCUUCUAUUGUGCUGUGUAAUUUUUUUUUUUUUUGAGAUGGAGUCUCGCUGUCGCCCAGGCUGGAGUGCAGUGCCACGAUCUCGGCUCACUGCAGGCUCUGUCCCCCGGGGUUUACGCCAUUCUCCUGCCUCAGCCUCCCGAGUAGCUGGGACUACAGGUGCCCGCCACCUCUCCCGGCUAAUUUUUUGUAUUUUUAGUAGAGACAGGGUUUCACCGUGUUAGCCAGGAUGGUCUCGAUCUCCUGACCUCGUGAUCCGCCCACCUCGGGUAAUUUUUUUUAAAAAUUCAAAUUAGUUAACCUCUUGUAGACAUUCAUUAAAAUACAUUUGUUGAGCACCUGUGUAAACUGCUCACCAUCUAGUUGGGAGAAAGGUAAAUAAACAGUUACAAAAACAAAACAUACUUUGCAAUUUGGAGACUUAAUAAAUGUUUUUGAUGACAGUGUGAUGACAGCUUGUACUCCAAAAUUAAUAAUCACAAUGAAGGCUGGGCGUGGUGGAUCAAGCCUAUAAUCCCAGCACUUUGGGAGGCUUAGGUAAGCAGAUCAUGAGGUUAGGAGUUCGAGAACAGCCUGGCCAACAUGGUGAAACCCAAUCUCUACUAAAAAUACAAAAAAAUUAGCCAGGUGUGAUGGCGC